rnacentral:rRNA from 1 species
CCCUUAGAUGUUCUGGGCCGCACGCGCGCUACAAUGAUGAAUUCAACGAGUUUAUAACCUUGGUUGAAAAGCCUGGGUAAUCUUUUGAACUUUCGUCGUGAUGGGGCUAGACCCUUGCAAUUAUUGGUCUCCAACGAGGAAUUCCUAGUAAACGCAAGUCAUCAGCUUGCAUUGAUUACGUCCCUGCCCUUUGCACACACCGCCCGUCGCACCUACCGAUUGAAUGGUCCGGUGAAAUCUUCGGAUUGAGACUUUGAUUUCUUCACGGAAAACGCUGUUUUAAGAAGUUGAUUAAACCUUACCAUUUAGAGGAAGGUGAAGUCGUAACA